rnacentral:rRNA from 1 species
UUUAAGAGUAGUGGUAGGAAAAUCCGCCACAUAUACGCUCAAGAAGCCGAGCUAACAGCACCUAAGAUCUGGAUGAUGUUGGCAGGGUGUCCAAGAAAAGCUUCUAAGCUUUGAAGCACACGUGACCGUACUAAAACUGACACAGGUAGGCGAGAUGAGAAGUCUCAGGCGCUCGGGAGAAUGGUGAUUAAGGAACUCUGCAAAAUGGCCCCGUAAGUUCGCGAUAAGGGGCGCCUAGCAAUAGGCCACAGAAAAUCGGCUCUAGCGACUGUUUAUCAAAAACACAGGACGCUGCUAACACGUAAGUGGAUGUAUAGCGUCUGACGCCUGCCCGGUGCUGGUAGGUUAAGGAAGGCGGUUAGUUCCUUCGGGAAUGAAGCUGGCGACCGAAGCCCCAGUAAACGGCGGCCCUAACUAUGAGGGUCCUAAGGUAGCGAAGUUCCUUGUCGGGUAAGUUCCGACCUGCAUGAAAGGCGUAACGACUGGAGCACUGUCUCAAUCACCAACCCGGUGAAAUUGUAGUCGUGGUGAAGAUGCCACGUACCCGCGGUUAGACGGAAAGACCCCAUGAACCUUCACUGUAGGCUGAUAUUGGGUUGAGGUAUGUCUUGUGUAGUAUAGCUGGGAGGCUGUGAAACGGGCGCGCCAGCGUUCGUGGAGCCAUCGUUGAAAUACCAGCCUGGUCAUGCUUUAAUCCUAACCCUGUACCUUAUAACAGGUCAGGGAGCAGUGUCAGUUGGGCAGUUUGACUGGGGCGGUCUCCUCCAAAAGAGUAACGGAGGAGUACAAAGGUCCAUUCAGCCUGGUCGGCAAUCAGGCGUAGAGCGUAAAGGUAUAAGUGGGCUUAACUGCGAGAGUUAUAACUCGGGCAGAUACGAAAGUAGGUCUUAGUGAUCCGGUGAUUCCGAAUGGAAGGGUCAUCGCUCAUCAGAUAAAAGGUACUCUGGGGAUAACAGGCUUAUCGCAUCCGAGCGUCCACAGCGGCGAUGCGGUUUGGCACCUCGAUGUCGGCUCAUCACAUCCUGGGGGUGAAGAAGCUCCCAAGGGUUUGGCUGUUCGCCAAUGAAAGUGGUACGUGAGCUGGGUUCAGACCGUCGUGAGACAGGUCGGUCCCUAUCUGCCGUGGGCGUUCGAAACUUGAGGAGGUUCAUCAUUAGUACGAGAGGAUUUUGAUGGACGAAGCUCUGGUGUACCAGUUGUCACGCUAGUGGCACGGCUGGAUAGCUAACUUCGGAAAAGAUAAACGCUGAAAGCAUCUAAGCGUGAAGCUCGCUCCAAGAUUAGGUUUCGUAAGCUGUUUACAGAGAAAGUCCCCUGGAAGACUACCAGGUUGAUAGGCUAGAUGUGUAAGCACCGUAAGGUGUUCAGCUAACUAGUACUAAUGGACGAAUACUUGACCAC